AUACCUGGCGGCGUGCUAAUCAUGCAAGUCCAGCGAAUGGAUUGAGAGCUUGCUCUCAAGAAGUUAGCGGCGGACGGGUGAGUAACACGUGGGUAACCUACCCAUAAGACUGGGAUAACUCCGGGAAACCGGGGCUAAUACCGGAUAACAUUUUGAACUGCAUGGUUCGAAAUUGAAAGGCGGCUUCGGCUGUCACUUAUGGAUGGACCCGCGUCGCAUUAGCUAGUUGGUGAGGUAACGGCUCACCAAGGCAACGAUGCGUAGCCGACCUGAGAGGGUGAUCGGCCACACUGGGACUGAGACACGGCCCAGACUCCUACGGGAGGCAGCAGUAGGGAAUCUUCCGCAAUGGACGAAAGUCUGACGGAGCAACGCCGCGUGAGUGAUGAAGGAUUUCGGGUCGUAAAACUCUGUUGUUAGGGAAGAACAAGUGCUAGUUGAAUAAGCUGGCACCUUGACGGUACCUAACCAGAAAGCCACGGCUAACUACGUGCCAGCAGCCGCGGUAAU
rnacentral:rRNA from 1 species